rnacentral:rRNA from 1 species
ACGAACGCUGGCGGCGUGGAUAAGACAUGCAAGUCGAACGGAAUAUUCUUUGUAGCAAUACAAAGGAUGUUCAGUGGCGUAAGGGUGCGUAACACGUGGGCAAUCUACCGAGAAGUGGGGGAGUAGCUCGCCGAAAGGACGAAUUAAUACCGCAUGUGGUUAGCGACGACAUCUUCGCGACACCAAAGCCGGGGACCGAUAGCAAUAUGGCCUGGCGCUUCUUGAUGAGCCCGCGGCCUAUCAGCUUGUUGGCGGGGUAACGGCCCACCAAGGCUAUGACGGGUAGCUGGUCUGAGAGGACGACCAGCCACACUGGAACUGAGACACGGUCCAGACACCUACGGGUGGCAGCAGUCGAGAAUUUUUCUCAAUGGGGCAACCCUGAAGGAGCGACGCCGCGUGGAGGAUGAAGGUCUUCGGAUUGUAAACUCCUGUCAUUAGGGAACAAGUUGCAGCGCG